GACGAACGUCUGGCGGCGUGCUUAACACAUGCAAGUCGAACGAUGAUGCCCAGCUUGCUGGGCGGAUUAGUGGCGAACGGGUGAGUAACACGUGAGUAACCUGCCCCUGACUCUGGGAUAAGCGUUGGAAACGACGUCUAAUACUGGAUAUGAUCACCGGCCGCAUGGGCUGGUGGUGGAAAGAUUUUUUGGUUGGGGAUGGACUCGCGGCCUAUCAGCCUGUUGGUGAGGUAAUGGCUCACCAAGGCGACGACGGGUAGCCGGCCUGAGAGGGUGACCGGCCACACUGGGACUGAGACACGGCCCAAACUCCUACGGGAGGCAGCAGUGGGGAAUAUUGCACAAUGGGCGAAAGCCUGAUGCAGCAACGCCGCGUGAGGGAUGACGGCCUUCGGGUGGUAAACCUCUUUUAGUAGGGAAGAAGCGAAAGUGACGGUACCUGCAUAAAAAGCACCGGCUAACUACGUGCCAUCAGCCGCGGUAAUACGUAUGGUGCAAGCGUUGUCCGGAAUUAUUGGGCGUAAAGAGCUCGUAGGCGGUUUGUCGCGUCUGCUGUGAAAUCCCGAGGCUCAACCUCGGGCUUGCAGUGGGUACGGGCAGACUAGAGUGCGGUAGGGGAGAUUGGAAUUCCUGGUGUAGCGGUGGAAUGCGCAGAUAUCAGGAGGAACACCGAUGGCGAAGGCAGAUCUCUGGGCCGUAACUGACGCUGAGGAGCGAAAGCAUGGGGAGCGAACAGGAUUAGAUACCCUGGUAGUCCAUGCCGUAAACGUUGGGCGCUAGAUGUAGGGACCUUUCCACGGUUUCUGUGUCGUAGCUAACGCAUUAAGCGCCCCGCCUGGGGAGUACGGCCGCAAGGCUAAAACUCAAAGGAAUUGACGGGGGCCCGCACAAGCGGCGGAGCAUGCGGAUUAAUUCGAUGCAACGCGAAGAACCUUACCAAGGCUUGACAUACACCGGAAACGGCCAGAGAUGGUCGCCCCCUUGUGGUCGGUGUACAGGUGGUGCAUGGUUGUCGUCAGCUCGUGUCGUGAGAUGUUGGGUUAAGUCCCGCAACGAGCGCAACCCUCGUUCUAUGUUGCCAGCGGGUUAUGCCGGGGACUCAUAGGAGACUGCCGGGGUCAACUCGGAGGAAGGUGGGGAUGACGUCAAAUCAUCAUGCCCCUUAUGUCUUGGGCUUCACGCAUGCUACAAUGGCCGGUACAAAGGGCUGCGAUACCGUAAGGUGGAGCGAAUCCCAAAAAGCCGGUCUCAGUUCGGAUUGAGGUCUGCAACUCGACCUCAUGAAGUCGGAGUCGCUAGUAAUCGCAGAUCAGCAACGCUGCGGUGAAUACGUUCCCGGGCCU
rnacentral:rRNA from 1 species